GGCACUUCUUCAUGCUGCCUUGCGAAGAAGCUGGCUUGCUUCCUCUUUGUCUUCCGCCAUGAUUGUAGAUUUCCUGAGGCCUUCCAAGCUGUGCUGAACUUAACAAUUUGGACAAGACAGCAAAUGCUAUUGUCGAAGUUUUCUAAAGAAGAAUCUGAAGUGAAAUGACAUCAAGAGACCUAUCAAGACCUGUAUCCAGGAAAAGACCAAACCAAUGCAGACCAAACCAAUGCAGAACUCCUAUGUGCUGAUGGUGGUCUUACAUUUCCCUAAGUUUCUGCCGACUAAACUGUGCACACGUUCUCAGGACCUCCUGAAGCUGCGUCACAGGCACUAAUCAAAGAACACAACCAAGGAAUCAUUCUAGCCUUCUCGUCUUGCUAAUUUGUAACCUCCCACUUCAACAGUGAGAAAGCUGGUUCCCACCAUCUGCGACUUAUACGGCACCGAAAGCGAAGGAAGCUCCUGCUCCUCCUAAAGCCGAAGCCAAAGUGAAGGUUUUAAAGGCCAAGAAGGCAGUGUUGAAAGGUGUCCGCAGCCACACGCAAAAAAGAAGAUCCGCAUGUCACCCACCUUCAGGCGGCCCAAGACACUGCGACUCCGGAGGCAGCCCAGAUAUCCUCGGAAGAGCACCCCCAGGAGAAACAAGCUUGGCCACUAUGCUAUCAUCAAGUUUCCGCUGACCACUGAGUCGGCCGGAAGAAGAUAGAAGAAAACAACACGCUUGUGUUCACUGUGGAUGUUAAAGCCAACAAGCACCAGAUCAGACAGGCUGUGAAGAAGCUCUAUGACAGUGAUGUGGCCAAGGUCACCACCCUGAUUUGUCCUGAUAAAGAGAACAAGGCAUAUGUUCGACUUGCUCCUGAUUAUGAUGCUUUCGAUGUUGUAACAAAAUUGGGAUCAUCUAAACUGAGUCCAGCUGGCUAACUCUAAAUAUAUGUGUAUUUUUUCAGCAUAAAAAAAUAA
rnacentral:lncRNA from 1 species